GGAUAAAUAGUUUAAAUUUAAAACAUAACACUGAAAAUGUUAAACUGUGCUCUGCCCUUUCUCCA
rnacentral:tRNA from 1 species